UUUAUCGGAGAGUUUGAUCCUGGCUCAGGACGAACGCUGGCGGCGUGCCUAAUACAUGCAAGUCGAGCGGACAGAUGGGAGCUUGCUCCCUGAUGUUAGCGGCGGACGGGUG
rnacentral:rRNA from 2 species